GAUGGACGUUGGCGACGUGCCUAACACAUGCCAGUCGAGCGGAGAAGAAGUGAGUGAACUCUUCGGAGUGCACUUUUUUCGGAUCAGAGGCGGACGGGUGAGCAAUACAUGAGGAACCUGCCCCCUACAAGGGGAUAGACGAGGGAAACCGCGACUACUACCCUAUGAGACCACGAAAGAGCAUGCCCUUGCGGCCAAAGAUUUCUCGGUAGACGAUGGCCUCAUGACCCAUUAGCUAGUUGGUGAUGUAACAGACCACCAAGGCGACGAUGGGUAGCCGGCUUGCGAGAGUGAGCCGCCACAUUGGAACUGGGACACGGGCCAGACUCCUACGGGAGGCAGCAGUGCCGAAUACUGCACAAUGGGGGAAGCCCUGAUGCAGCGACGUCGCGUGAGCGAAGAAGGCCUUCGGGGAGGAAAGCUCUGUCCUAUGGGAAGAAAAGGACGGUACCAAAGAAGGAAGCCCCGGCUAACUACGUG
rnacentral:rRNA from 1 species